rnacentral:rRNA from 1 species
AUACGAAGGGUGCAAGCGUUAAUCGGAAUUACUGGGCGUAAAGCGCGCGUAGGUGGUUUUGUAAGUUGGAGGUGAAAGCCCCGGGCUCAACCUGGGAAUUGCCUCCAAAACUGCAUGACUAGAGUACGGUAGAGGGUAGUGGAAUUUCCUGUGUAGCGGUGAAAUGCGUAGAUAUAGGAAGGAACACCAGUGGCGAAGGCGACUACCGGGACUGAUACGGACACUGAGGUGCGAAAGCGUGGGGAGCAAACAGGAUUAGAUCCCCUGGUAGUCCACGCCGUAAACGAUGUCAACUAGCCGUUGGGAUCCUUGAGAUCUUAGUGGCGCAGCUAACGCAUUAAGUUGACCGCCUGGGGAAUACGGCCGCAAGGUUAAAACUCAAAUGAAUGGACGGG